UUGGAGGGCAAGUCUGGUGCCAGCAGCCGCGGUAAUUCCAGCUCCAAUAGCGUAUAUUAAAGUUGUUGCAGUUAAAAAGCUCGUAGUUGAAUUUCGGGAUCAGAUUGUCGGUCGUGCCUCGGUACGCACUGGUAUUAUUGGUUCCUACCUUCUGAAGAACCGCGAUGUCAUUAAUUUGGUGUCGUGGGGAAUCAGGACUGUUACUUUGAAAAAAUUAGAGUGUUUAAAGCAGGCUUACGCUUGAAUACAUUAGCAUGGAAUAAUGAAAUAGGACGUUUGAUUCUAUUUUGUUGGUUUCUAGGAUUGACGUAAUGAUUAAUAGGGAUAGUUGGGGGCAUUAGUAUUCAAUUGUCAGAGGUGAAAUUCUUGGAUUUAUUGAAGACUAACUACUGCGAAAGCAUUUGCCAAGGAUGUUUUCAUUAAUCAAGAACGGAAGUUAGGGGAUCGAGGACGAUCAGAUACCGUCGUAGUCUUAACCAUAAACUAUGCCGACUAGGGAUCGGAUGAUGUUAAUUUUUUAAUGACUCAUUCGGCGCCUUACGGGAAAC
rnacentral:rRNA from 1 species